rnacentral:rRNA from 1 species
CGCGAAUUCGCCCUUCGGGGUGCAGCAGGCGCGAAAACUCUACAAUGCAGGCAACUGCGAUAGGGGAACAUCGAGUGAUCCUCAUAUUGGGGGUCUGUCCACCCGUCUAAAAAACGGGUGUUAGCAAGGGCCGGGCAAGACCGGUGCCAGCCGCCGCGGUAACACCGGCGGCUCGAGUGGUGGCCGAUAUUAUUGAGUCUAAAGGGUCCGUAGCCGGCUUUGCAAGUCUCUCGGGAAAUCCAGCGGCUUAACCGUUGGUCGUCCGGGGGGUACUACAUUGCUUGGGACUGGGAGAGGUAGGAGGUACUCAGGGGGUAGGAGUGAAAUCCUGUAAUCCUUUGGGGACCACCGGUGGCGAAGGCGUCCUACCAGAACAGGUCCGACGGUGAGGGACGAAAGCUAGGGGCACGAACCGGAUUAGAUACCCGGGUAGUCCUAGCCGUAAACGAUGCUCGCUAGGUGUCACAACAGUCGUGAACUGUUGUGGUGCCGUAGGGAAGCCGUGAAGCGAGCCACUUGGGAAGUACGACCGCAAGGUUGAAACUUAAAGGAAUUGGCGGGGGAGCAC